rnacentral:lncRNA from 1 species
GGCGUAUAGGAUAAAAAAGGGAAAGCUGCAUUAAGAAACAAAGGUAAAAUUAGAAACACAAGCAAGACAAAACAAAAUAAUAAAGCACAAGUACUCCCACAGAAAUAACGUAAAUAAUUAUGGAAACACAAGCAACAUAAAUACAGUCGCAUGCAAUAAUAACAAGCAGUAACUACCAUAUUAACAACCCUCUGGGGACAUAAGCUAAAACACUAAUCACCUAUGGGUA